rnacentral:rRNA from 1 species
UCCUUACCCACCUUUGACAUGUAUGGAAGAUCGCAGAGACGCGAUUGUGCUCGAAAGAGAGCCAUAACACAGGUGCUGCAUGGCUGUCGUCAGCUCGUGUCGUGAGAUGUUGGGUUAAGUCCCGCAACGAGCGCAACCCUUGUCAUUAGUUGCUACAUUUAGUUGGGCACUCUAAUGAGACUGCCGGUGACAAACCGGAGGAAGGUGGGGAUGACGUCAAGUCCUCAUGGCCCUUAUAGGUGGGGCUACACACGUCAUACAAUGGCUGGUACAAAGGGUUGCCAACCCGCGAGGGGGAGCCAAUCCCAUAAAGCCAGUCGUAGUCCGGAUCGCAGUCUGCAACUCGACUGCGUGAAGUCGGAAUCGCUAGUAAUCGUGGAUCAGAAUGUCACGGUGAAUACGUUCCCGGGUCUUGUACACACCGCCCGUCACACCAUGGGAGCGGGUUCUGCCAGAAGUAGGUAGCCUAACCGUAAGGAGGGCGCUUACCUCGGCAGGGUUCGUGACUGGGGUGG